rnacentral:rRNA from 1 species
UACGUAGGGUGCAAGCGUUGUCCGGAAUUAUUGGGCGUAAAGAGCUCGUAGGCGGUUUGUCACGUCGGCUGUGAAAACCCGGGGCUUAACCCCGGGCCUGCAGUCGAUACGGGCAGGCUAGAGUUCGGCAGGGGAGACUGGAAUUCCUGGUGUAGCGGUGAAAUGCGCAGAUAUCAGGAGGAACACCGGUGGCGAAGGCGGGUCUCUGGGCCGAUACUGACGCUGAGGAGCGAAAGCGUGGGGAGCGAACAGG